rnacentral:rRNA from 1 species
GGGGGAGAUGAUCGAGCGAAGUUUGGUAGAUCGUAGGGAUUGUCGCUGGCCUUUGGCAACGAAGGCAUGUGCACGUUCCGAGCUCUCCUUAGUCCUUGUUUUCUCUUCCUUUGGAGACGUUUCUCAACACCUGUGCACCUUAUUGUAGGUUCCGCAAGGGAUCUAUGUUUUUAUCUACCCCAAAUGCAUGUCUUAGAAUGUUAUUAAUGCGUCGAUCGGCCUGGCUAACGCCUCGUCGGCGACGGUAAAGAAUCAUACAACUUUCAGCAACGGAUCUCUUGGCUCUCGCAUCGAUGAAGAACGCAGCGAAUUGCGAUACGUAAUGUGAAUUGCAGAUUUUCAGUGAAUCAUCGAAUCUUUGAAUGCACCUUGCGCUCCUUGGUAUUCCGAGGAGCAUGCCUGUUUGAGUGUCAUUGAAUUCUCAACCAUCCUUUGAUUUAUUUCGAGGGAUGGCUUGGAUUUUGGGAGUUGCUGGCUGACCCUCGGGACGGUCGGCUCUCCUUAAAAGCAUUAGCGAAAGGUGACAAGCCCUGCAUGCACGGCCUUCGACGUGAUAAUGAUCGUCGUGGCUGGAGUGUGAGGCGUAGAUAGUCCAUUUUUUGCUUCCAAAAACAUUGGUAUUUUGGGGAGUUUGCUUCGGCGGACGAACCUUUUUGCCCUUUUUGACGCUUGACCUCAAAUCAGGUAGGACUACCCGCUGAACUUAAGCAUAUCAAUAAGCGGAGGAAAAGAAACUAACAAGGAUUCCCCUAGUAACUGCGAGUGAAGCGGGAAGAGCUCAAAUUUUGAAUCUGGCGGUCUUUCGGCCGUCCGAGUUGUAAUCUAGAGAAGCGUCUUCCGCGCUGGACCG